CUGUGAGUCAGAUGCAGGUUCUCAGACUCCUGAGCCAGUAGAAACACUCCCCGGCCUUGAAUCUCGAUUGACUCUGUUUCCUUCCUUUCCUCUUCUGUGAAUCAUCCAUGCCACACAAAAGAUGAGGAAAAUGAGGCCCAGAGAUUUGAAGAAACCUGCCCAAUGUCACUAAGUGGUUUGAGAAGUGGACUCUCUGAGGCAUAUCAUCAUCAUCAUCAUCAUCAUCAUCAUCAUCAUCAUUUUAACAAAGGACUCAUGCAACUAAAAAGUUUCAGUUGUAAGGACAGGCUAUGCAGUUAAUAGGGGCAAUCAUAGGAUUGACCAUAUAA